UGAAUACGAGAUGCUACGGCGUCGAAGCAGUCUAUGUCAUACUUCCAAGAAAAGCUCGCACUGUCAUAAACAAAUAAUGCCUGUACCAUAACCGACACAGGAGGGUAGGUAGAGUAUACUAAGGGGCGCGAGAUAACUCUCUCUAAGGAACUCGGCAAAAUGACUCCUAACUUCGGGAGAAGGAGUGCCUUAUUUAUAAGGUUGCAAUAACAAGAUCCAAGCAACUGUUUAUCAAAAACACAGGUCUCCGCUAAGUCGUAAGACGAUGUAUGGGGGCUGACGCCUGCCCAGUGCCAGAAGGUUAAAGAAGUUGGUUAGUGUAUGCGAAGCUGAUGACUGAAGCCCUGGUGAACGGCGGCCGUAACAAUAACGGUCCUAAGGUAGCGAAAUUCCUUGUCGGGUAAGUUCCGACCCGCACGAAAGGCGUAAUGAUUUGGAUACUGUCUCGGAGAGAGGCUCGGUGAAAUAGACUUGUCUGUGAAGAUGCGGACUACCUGCACCAGGACAGAAAGACCCUAUGAAGCUUUACUGUAACUUGAAAUUGGAAUUGGACUUUGCUUGCGCAGUAUAGGUGGGAAGCGUUGAAGAUAUUCUUGCGGGAGUAUUGGAGCUAUCAGUGAGAUACCACUCUUGUAAUGUUAGAUUUCUAACUUUGAACCAUAAUCUGGUCAAAGAACAGUUUCAGGUGGGCAGUUUGACUGGGGCGGUCGCCUCCCAAAUGGUAACGGAGGCGUACAAAGGUUUCCUCUGAACGGAUAGAAAUCGUAUCUAGAGUGUAAAGGCAUAAGGAAGCUUGACUGUGAGACCUACAAGUCGAGCAGGGACGAAAGUCGGUCUUAGUGAUCUGACGGUACUGAGUGGAAAGGCCGUCACUCAACGGAUAAAAGUUACUCUAGGAUAACAGGCUGAUCUCCCCCAAGAGUUCACAUCGACGGGGAGGUUUGGCACCUCGAUGUCGGCUCAUCGCAUCCUGGGGCGGUAGUACGUCCCAAGGGUUGGGCUGUUCGCCCAUGAAAGCGGUACGCGAGCUGGGUUCAGAACGUCGUGAGACAGUUCGGUCCAUAUCCGGUGUAGGCGUUAGAAUAUUGAGAGGAGCCUUCUUUAGUACGAGAGGACCGAGAAGGACACACCGCUGGUGUACCAGUUAUCGUGCCAACGGUAAACGCUGGGUAGCUAUGUGUGGAGUGGAUAACCGCUGAAAGCAUCUAAGUGGGAAGCCCACCUCAAGAUGAG
rnacentral:rRNA from 1 species